rnacentral:misc_RNA from 1 species
AAAGAGCCACCGGAAGUGAGCAUUAGGGGUAACCCCCGAUUGUUAGCGGAAGGUAAUGGCCCAUUCGUGUCUACCGACCCAGUUGCCUCGGCGGGCCGCGCCGCAAGGCCGGCCGGGGGGAGUCUCUCCCCUCAGUCCGCGCCCGCCGAUGGACCUCUUAAAAUCUGAUAUUUUUGGCUGUCUGAGCGUUAAAGCAAAUCAGUUA